AGGGACUUAGGAUAAUAUUAGACCAAAAGCCUUCAAAGCUUUAAGUAGAAGUUAAAAUCUUCUAGUCCCUG
rnacentral:tRNA from 2 species